ensembl:lncRNA
GGCGUGGGGCGGCCACCCGGGAACUCUGAGAAGAGCUGGGCUUCACUCCGGUUUCGCUGCGCAGGGAGAACCCGAGGGCGUGGCCUAUGGGAAGGGCCAGGUGCGCCAGGUGACUGCAGACGGGCAACGCUGCCGCAGGGCCUAAAGGUGUAUAUGUGGGAGGGAUGUCAGUCAGCACUCGCUCGCUCUCAUCGCCCCGUCUGGACCGAUUUUACCACAGAAACUGAAGAGUUCCUCGUAGUGGGCAAAUAUAACCGAAAGAAGGGAAAGGAUUAGGUGAUGAUUCCAAACCAUACACUAUCAGCUCCUCGACCUUGUAGCAGAAACUACAUAUUUCACUCGAUUCGGUGAAGUCUGGAAGGAACAGAGGCAAAAUGAACUACUCAAGAGUUUGAAGACCCGGGGAGGAGUGAGCAGCCAAAACUUUAUAUAGAAAACUGAAGAACUUGCAUCAAAGCAAGUUCAAGUGGAUGUUAAUCAAAGUCCGUCAUCUUACUUUUCUCUCCGCCAGUUGCUUCAGUAAUCACAGAAACAGUACCUCAAGAAGGAAGAAACUUAGAUCCCUGAGUCACUGCUUGAAAGAGUAUCUCUGGGCUCCAAGGAGUACCACAUCAAGCUAUGAUGUAAAUAAGAAACUUAUGUAUUGUGUUAAGGCAUUGGUAGUUAGAGGGUCCUUGUUUCAGUAUUUAGUUUUAAUUACUCUGACAAAAUACCAUUGAAAAGUGUUCAGUUCAGUUCAGUCACUCAGUCGUGUCCGACUCUUUGCUGCCUCAUGGACUGCAGCACAUCAGGCUUCCCUGUCCAUCACCAAAUCCUGGAGCUUACUAAAUAUUAAUAUUUAAUAUCUCAGAAAUAUUUGAAAUGUACCAUGUACCACACUGAUCUUUCCCCUACUCUUAGACCUCUUCUAGCAUCUUCAUCCAGAGAAGGCAAUGGCACCCCACUCCAGUACUCUUGCCUGGAAAAUCCCAUGGAUGGAGGAGCCUGGUGGGCUGCUGUCUAUGGGGUCGCACAGAGUCGGACACAAUUGAAGUGACUUAGCAGCAGUAGCAGCAGCAUCUUCAUAUCUUUGAAUGGCUUCUUCACCCAUUUCAGUUGAGCAAUAUAGAAACCUAAACACCAUCCCUGGUACCUCUUUAAACUUUUCUCUCAUUUCAAAUGAAUGGCUAUACUUCUCAGUUUUAUUUCCUAUACUACUAUUCUUGAAUUACUCACCCUUCCAAUAGCACUGCAGUAAGCUAAGUCUGAAUAAAAGACUUCCUUACUGUCUGUCCCCCUGUCGACUUUUGCCUCUCUUCUGUCUGUUCGAUGCCCCCCAUCUAGAGUUAUCAAAUGUGAUCAAGUCAUUUCACUGCUGUAGCUCAUUAAGUGACUUUCUGAUGGUCUUAAUUAUAGAUUGAAUUGAGUUUCCCCCAAAAUUCAUAUGUUGAAACUCUAGCCCACGAUAUGGUUAUAUCUGGAUAUAGGGUCUUUUGGAGGUCAUUAGGGUUAAAUGAGGUCAUAAGGGUGGAGCUCUAAUCCAGUAGGACUGUGACCUUAAAAAAAGAGGAAGAGUUCACAUGCUUGCUCUCUCUCUCUCUUCCCCCUUCCCCCUAACUCCACCAUCCUGACUCCACUGUCCCCCAUCAUGUAAAGACAAAGUGAGAAGGCAGCUAUCUGCAAGCCAGAAAGAGCCUUCGCAAGAAGCAGAUGACGCUGUACCCUGAUCAUAGACUUCCAGCUUCUAGAACUGUUAGAAAAUUGAUUUUUGUUGUUCAAGCCACUCAGUAUUUUGUCUUGGCCACCCAAGCUGACUAAAACCAUCAUUAUUAAAACUGAAUCAUUUAGGAGUGACCCUCACUGCCAAUUCUGCUUUAUCUUAUGCCAUGCUUCACCCUGCCACCCAUCUCUGAUUCCAACCAUAGCAGCCCUGAGAGCUUUUCAGCUCUUUGAACAAAUCUUAUUCUCACCACAUGGCCUUUUCACAUGUUUAUCACUAUACCUAGGACAUGUCAUGUUUAGCCAACCCAUUCUCGUUCUUCAGAGUAUAGCUGGCAAAAUUCUCUCCCUGGCAAAGCCUUUGGUGAUUCUGACCCCACCUGACCUCUUCACACAGUUUUCCCUUAUGUGUCAUCAGUACUAAUUCAUUUUCCUAUAAGACACUUUUCAAAGGUUUUUUGAGAUUAUUUUAUUAAUACUUAUCUUUUACUCUAGACUUAAACUCUCUGAGGACAGGAAAUAUAUCUUAUUGCUCACCAUUCACAGAAAAUGCCCAACACCUGGUACAUAAUAAAGGUUUAUUGAAUUAAUGAAAUGUAAAGAAGCAUCUGUAAAGAAAUGUUAGCAAAAUUAAGG